rnacentral:rRNA from 1 species
GCUACGGGAGGCAGCAGUAGGGAAUUUUGCGCAAUGGGGGAAACCCUGACGCAGCAACGCCGCGUGAUUGAUGAAGCCCUUCGGGGUGUAAAGAUCUGUCAGUGGGGACGAAACUUGACGGUACCCACAGAGGAAGCAUCGGCUAACUCCGUGCCAGCAGCCGCGGUAAUACGGGGGAUGCAAGCGUUGGCGGGAAUCAUUGGGCGUAAAGGGUUCGGGGGUGGCACGUUAGGUCUGGGUUUAAUUGCAGAGGGUCAACCCCUGUUCGGCACUGGAUACUGGCGAGCUUGAAUGCGGUAGAGGCAAAGGGAAUUCCUGGUGUAGCGGUGAAAUGCGUAGAUAUCAGGAGGAACACCGGUGGCGUAAGCGCUUUACUGGGCCGUAAUUGACACUGAGGAACGAAAGCCAGGGUAGCAAAUGGGAUUAGAUACCCGGGUAGUC